rnacentral:lncRNA from 1 species
CUUACAUUGGGGUCUAUCUGAAUCAUACUUUAGUCAAGUCAUCGAACAAUGGUGAUUUAUUCAGGAGACACUUCCAAGUCUCCUUUAGUGGUUGGAUCUUGUUAUUCACCAACCCACGAUACCUCAGCUCGAACGACAAACGUCAUGAGACCAUUCUACGAACAUACUUUCAUUCCUUAACUAGGGCUGCAUCGUAGAGAUGUAGGUCAAACUUUCGAGGUCAUACUCUUACUUUUAGCGUGAAUAAUCUAAGUACAUCAGGGUCAACCAGAAUCGCUCACAAAUCUUUACUCUUUCGUGUUACAAAAUCAUGUCGUCAUCCGGAAACAACCAGCCAAGCAACGAGACCUCUACUUUCCCCAUGGACGCCGCUACCUUUCAAACGGUAUUUACAGCUGCCGUAGUGGCUGCAGUAACCGCGGUCAUGACGCACNUGGCUGCAGUAACCGCGGUCAUGGCGCACUGUAGCUCUAUCAACACGGUCGAUACUGCUGAUGGGAAUGAAGUUUCCAAUCGUGAUAUCCAUCCAGGAAGACACCCAACAGUAACAGUCCCAGGCUCGCAAAGCCAGAAAGCAGAGAACAAGAAACAAAAGCGUCAAGCCUGGAAAGAACGCAAGAGAGCCCAAAAGCUGGCUAUACCACAACAGCAAGUGGAAACCCCUGCCGUUCCCAUAACGUGCAGGUCAUAUGAAGGAAAACUCCCGAAGUGUGAGAAGUGU